GUUAUUUUGAUUAUGGGAAACUUUCUCUGUACCAAGGAUCAGCUUUAGAUUAUGGACCAAGUCUUCUCUUGGCUAUUGGAAGCCUUCAAGAGACUCCAGAGUUUCAAAAACAGAUUCUGCAAAUGCAAUUUUGCCUAGAGAGAGCAAGCAGGGAGAGGCAGAGAGAGAAG